UUUUAGUAAAACAAUUCAUAUGGAUAUGAAUUCAUUCACAUAAUCUUUGAAUGGUUUAUAAAUAAUUUUAAUCGGUUACACAACAGAUAUACUCCCAAGGCCAAAAAAAAUGUUGCCACUCUCCCUUGUUUUGAAUUUCAAACCAUUAAGGACUUUAUCACAACGUGGGAGUGACUGAAUUUACAAAACAAAAAGAGAGUAAUGUUCAAGCUUGAAUAUAUCUUGGAGAGCAAAGCAUGAUUGCUACAAAUUAGACAGAGAAUUACUUGGUUGCUUUGAUUGAACUCCAGCUCCAAUUGUUGAAGAUUGAUUAACCCAAGAAGAGAUUAAGUGGUGAGCAAUUGCAAAGGGGCCAGGGAAAAACAUUGGAGCAAGCUC
rnacentral:misc_RNA from 1 species